rnacentral:rRNA from 1 species
GAAUCUUGCGCAAUGGGCGAAAGCCUGACGCAGCCAUGCCGCGUGAAUGAUGAAGGUCUUAGGAUUGUAAAAUUCUUUCACCGGGGACGAUAAUGACGGUACCCGGCGAAGAAGCCCCGGCUAACUUCGUGCCAGCCGCCGCGGUAAUACGAAGGGGGCUAGCGUUGCUCGGAAUUACUGGGCGUAAAGGGCGGGUGGGCGGAGCGUUAACUCAGAGGUGAAAUCCCAGGGCUCAACCCUGGAACUGCCUUUGAUACUGGGGAUCUUGAGUAUGAGAGAGGUAUGGGGAACUCCGAGUGUAGAGGUGAAAUUCGUAGAUAUUCGGAAGAACACCAGUGGCGAAGGCGACAUAAUGGCUCAUUACUGACGCUGAGGCGCGAAAGCGUGGGGAGCAAACAG